AUUGAACGCUGGCGGCAUGCCUUACACAUGCAAGUCGAACGGCAGCACGGGUGCUUGCACCUGGUGGCGAGUGGUGAACGGGUGAGUAAAGCAUCGGAACGUACCAUUGAGUGGGGGAUAACGUAGCGAAAGUUACGCUAAUACCGCGUAUUCUCUCCGGAGGAAAGCAGGGGAUCGUAAGACCUUGCGCUCUUUGAGCGGCCGAUGUCGGAUUAGCUAGUUGGUGGGGUAAAGGCCCACCAAGGCGACGAUCCGUAGCUGGUCUGAGAGGAUGAUCAGCCACACUGGGACUGAGACACGGCCCAGACUCCAACGGGAGGCAGCAGUGGGGAAUUUUGGACAAUGGGGGCAACCCUGAUCCAGCCAUGCCGCGUGAGUGAAGAAGGCCUUCGGGUUGUAAAGCUCUUUCGCGAGGGAAGAAAACGUGCAGGUUAAUACCCUGUAUGGAUGACGGUACCUUGAUAAGAAGCACCGGCUAACUACGUGCCAGCAGCCGCAGUAACAC
rnacentral:rRNA from 1 species